rnacentral:misc_RNA from 1 species
GCAAACUUGGUCAUUUAGAGGAAGUAAAAGUCGUAACAAGGUUUCCGUAGGUGAACCUGCGGAAGGAUCAUUACCAAAAUUUAAGCGGCCCUGGCUUCGUGCCUUGACGCUUUAACCACCUGUGAACCAAAACCUUUUCGCUUCGGCAGCAAGGGCAGCCCGACAAAGGGUCAACCUGUCAGCCUGCCGUUAGCAUGCAGCUUUAAACCUGCCGCGCAUGUUGCGCAACAAUUCCUCUGAAAUUGGAAUUAUAAAACAAAAUCAAAACUUUCAACAACGGAUCUCUUGGUUCCCGCAUCGAUGAAGAACGCAGC